rnacentral:rRNA from 1 species
GACGAACCGUGCGAACGUUGUUCGGAAUCACUGGGCUUAAAGGGCGCGUAGGCGGACGACCAAGUCGGGGGUGAAAUCUUUCGGCUCAACCGGAAAAUAGCCUUCGAUACUGGUCGUCUAGAGGGAGGUAGGGGCGUGUGGAACUUCCGGUGGAGCGGUGAAAUGCGUUGAUAUCGGAAGGAACUCCGGUGGCGAAAGCGACACGCUGGAUCUCAUCUGACGCUGAGGCGCGAAAGCCAGGGGAGCGAACGGG